rnacentral:tRNA from 1 species
GAAGGUGUAGCUCAGUGGUAGAGCACAUGCUUAACAUGCACGAGGUCCUGGGUUCAAUCCCCAGUACCUCCA